GCGCCUCGAUCCUGUUCCGCCUCCCUCGGCCCUCCUGCCCGCCCCCACUCGUCGGCCCUCAGCUCAGAGACCUAAUAGGAUGGGGUCUUAGAGAAACAUCUUUUGAGCCACAGACUUCUUUGUUACCAGAAGGAAAAUGAAAGAAGAAAUUUAAAUACCACUUGAAGAGAGGUGCUGCCCAGUUCAUGAGUGCUGCUGCUGUCCUGCCCAAGUACCCAGCUUGCAGAGUGCCAGAGUUAGAGUCCCAGGGGUGUUCUCCACAGCUGCAUGCUUGAUCCAGGCCUAUCAGCAUUGUCUUUGAAUAUUAGCAAAUAAUGGAACAUGGGCCAAGGGUGAACCAUGACGAAUUUGUGUUCCAGCAGCCCUGCUUCUUUAGAAUUGACAGUCUGGCUUCGUGGUUAAUUCACAGCAUCUGAGGAAUACAUCCAAAGAGGGUGAUACUGUGGCAUGAUGGUACCAGGAUUCCAAGUUCAUUCCAGAGAAGAUGGCAAGAUGCAGAGAGGAGGAGUCACGCCUGAAGCCACACAGCUGACAUCAGAGCCAAAGCAUGAGCCUCAGUCUCUCUGACCCAGAGCUACCACCCUUGCUGCCUUGGGAAGAAGGAAGCCCCCUCCUAUUCUAUCCUUGAGCUGCCUUGGCAAGGAGGGGCCCCUUGCUGCCGCCAUCCUCACAGGACACCAUCCACAUGAGGGGAUGAUCAUUGGGUAGAGACUAGAAAUGUACCGAGCAGUGCGCAAAGAAGAUGAGGAGGGUUCUACAGUUUCUCCAGAUACAUACCAUGACAAUUUGUUUUUUUAAAAAAGAAGAAAGCCUGCAGGAAAAAAUCUACAACUUUCAUCAAAUUACUCAGGGAGACUUUAUUCUAAAGAGACUGAAAACGACCAACAUCAAUUUUGACUCCUAUGGGCAUCUGUAAAUAGCUUCAAGGUUUUAAGGUGAAAUGUCAUGUACCAAAAUACACAUUCUGGAGAAGCAGGAAGCUACAGACCAACUUGAGAUGAAAGUCUCAUAUCAAUGUUUUCCCAAGUGUGCUCCUUGGAAUACAGGUUGACAUGAUAUGAUGCCCAGCAAGGGAAACAAAACAUAUUCAUGUUCAAAUUAGUUGGGGAAAUGCUGGACUAAAUAAGGUUUGAUGGGAUUCUUUUUUCUGCAGGACUUCUCAGAAGGGGCUAGAGUAGGCAAAGUUUCCCAGAUUUACCUAAUAAAAGCAUUGUUUCUGUGGGAGUUUCAUUUGUUAUUACAUGUUUCCUGAAUGCAGAUUCAUAGACUAUCCUUUGGGGAACCCUCGUCCUCACGGGAUGUAUGUUCAUGGUGGUGUCUUCGAGUUUGUGCCCUUGUGAAGCAUUCUGGCAGCAAGCAUCUGAACACUUCCAAAAGGGGGCGAUAUUUAGGAGAAAUCGCUCAGCCUGAGUUAGAACAAAUGCAGCUGCUGGUGUCUCUUGGUGCCUGGGAGCCCUAGAGUGUCAGAGGGAGGAGCGUGCACACUGGAACCAGCAGCCUGGUGCUGCGUCUCAGCUCUGUCGCUAACUGGCUAUGCACCUCUGGGCAUGGCACUUAACCCUUCUGAGCCCCAGCCCGCCAUCUGUAAAAAGGGCUUGAUGUGAGGAUUGAAUGAGAUCAUGCAGGGAACACAAUGUCUGGCACUUGGAAGCGUCCACCAUAAAGAGCCAAGGCAGUAGAUGGCCCAGCUGGGUUUGGUCCAGGCAGAGUUUACCCUCUGCCCUGGAGGCUCCAGGAAAUGCUGCCACGUGGCUCCUAUUGCCUUAACCACAUCCGACCUGUUCCUGACAGCUCCCCACAUCUCCAGCUCCUUUGCUGGUGCUCCAGGCACCUCCAAACGUGGCGAGCCCCUCUCCCCUGCCCUCUUGUGGCAGCUGACCUGGCAGGAGUGGGACCAAGACAUCCAAGGCAGCUCCUUUCCACCUGCAUGGGCACUUUCCUCAGGACAUCCUUGCCCCUGGCACCACCUUGGGCCAGCAAGCCACAUGGAAAUGGAUGCAGAGGCACCACUGUUUGCUGACAAUUAUACACUGUCCUUAAGGUCACCCUUGGCGAUCUGUCACCAGGAGCAGACAAACCCACACCUCAACCAUCCCAUCAGAGCUUGUUUCUAUCUGCAUCUGUCAUCGCUGAUCGCAUUUGAAUGGGUUUAGUCUC
ensembl:lncRNA novel transcript, antisense to CBLN1